UACGGGGGGGAGCAAGCGUUGUUCGGAUUUACUGGGCGUAAAGGGCGCGUAGGCGGUCGUGACAAGUCACUUGUGAAAUCUCCGGGCUUAAACUCGGAACGGUCAAGUGAUACUGUCGGACUAGAGUACAGAAGGGGCAACUGGAAUUCUCGGUGUAGCGGUGAAAUGCGUAGAUAUCGAGAGGAACACCUGCGGCGAAGGCGGGUUGCUGG
rnacentral:rRNA from 1 species